GGGGGUAGAGCUCACGUGGUAGAGCACAUGCUUAGCAUGCACAAGGCCCUGGGUUCAACCCCCAGUACCUUCU
rnacentral:tRNA from 1 species